rnacentral:rRNA from 1 species
GAUGAACGCUAGCUACAGGCUUAACACAUGCAAGUCGAGGGGUAACGAGAGGAAAGCUUGCUUUCCUUGUCGACGACCGGCGCACGGGUGAGUAACGCGUAUCCAACCUGCCCCCAACUAGGGAAUAACCUUGCGAAAGUAAGACUAAUACCCUAUAAUUUCCUCAGAUGACAUCUGACGAGGAAUAAAGAUUUAUCGGUUGUGGAUGGGGAUGCGUCUGAUUAGCUUGUUGGCGGGGUAACGGCCCACCAAGGCAACGAUCAGUAGGGGUUCUUAGAGGAAGGUCCCCCACAUUGGAACUGAGACACGGUCCAAACUCCGACGGGAGGCAGCAGUGAGGAAUAUUGGUCAAUGGGCGGAAGCCUGAACCAGCCGAGUAGCGUGCAGGAUGACGGCCCUAUGGGUUGUAAACUGCUUUUAUACAGGAAUAAAGUUAGCCACGUGUGGUUAUUUGUAGGUACUGUAUGAAUAAGGACCGGCUAAUUCCGUGCCAGCCGCCGCCGUAA